GGAAACUGCAGAGAGUUGUACUGGUGAUCAUGAGCAAGGCCACUGGUGAAGUUUUAGAGGUGGAAUUUCAGUAUUGAGACUGAUAGAGAGGUCGUUGAUAAAAGGAUAAUUUAAUUUAAUCAAUGAUUCUGAUUCAGAAUAAUUUCUUUGGACAGGGAAAUGUUUGUGGUUUGGAUUUUGAUUUUGAUUUAUAGAGUUUCGAGGGAGAAGAGUGAUAAAGAAAUAAUGAGGGAAAUUCAAGCAAUUAUGAGACAGAUAGCUUCCAGCAUCACAUAUUUGCCUCGCCUUGAUGAAUUGUGUAAGUUUUUAAUUUGAAAUUGAGGUGACCUGCGAAGCACGGAUACUGCCAUUAGGGUGGCGUUUCAUGUCUAACACGAAUUCAACACUCGAUAUGAUUUGUUUUAGUUUUGUACAUAAUAAUCUAUUGUCGGAGAAGUGCAGUGAAUCAUCG
rnacentral:lncRNA from 1 species